CUGUUAUUGUUGACGACAAGGUUAAAGAGAGCCAUGGCUCCACUUUCCUGAGCCACUGCAUUCCUUGCUUGCACAGCUGACUCUAGGAACUGCAACAGUCCUUCAACAAACCCAUUGGCCCCCAUACAAAUCCUGGCCUCCUCAUCAUCUUUUAGCAGAAGCCUUAUUUUUUCUACUACCUUGCACUUUUCCCUCAAGUCUUUCUCUUCAUUCAGCAUCUUCAAAAAAUCCUGAUACCUUUGAAACAUAUCAUGCUCAAAGUCUUCUUCCCGUGGAGUUUUCUCCUCUUGUGGUUUCAAACUUUCCAUUUCAUGUCGCUCAGCCUCCUCAAUGGUACCACUCUCUAAAGGAACUACCUUCAUACCUUUCAAUUUGCCAGAGCUGAUGCUGUCCACUGAUUUUGAAUUUGCAGACUCCGACUGACACAAUGACAGCCUAAAGUAGUUGAGAUCAAG
rnacentral:misc_RNA from 1 species